rnacentral:rRNA from 1 species
CGCCUUGCCAGCCGCUCAGAACUUAAAGGAAUUGACGGGGGCCCGCACAAGCGGAGGAGCAUGUGGUUUAAUUCGAUGAUACGCGAGGAACCUUACCUGGGCUCGAACGUAAGAUGACUGUAGGUGAAAGCUUACAUCUCUUCGGAGCAUUUUACGAGGUGCUGCAUGGUUGUCGUCAGCUCGUGCCGUGAGGUGUCGGGUUAAGUCCCAUAACGAGCGCAACCCCUACCUUUAGUUGCCAUCAGGUUAAGCUGGGGACUCUAAAGGAACUGCCUACGCAAGUAGUGAGGAAGGCGGGGAUGACGUCAAAUCAGCACGGCCCUUACGUCCAGGGCUACACACGUGCUACAAUGGCCGAUACAGAGGGCAGCUACCUGGUGACAGGAUGCAAAUCUCCAAAGUCGGUCUCAGUUCGGAUCGGAGUCUGCAACCCGACUCCGUGAAGUUGGAUUCGCUAGUAAUCGCGCAUCAGCCAUGGCGCGGUGAAUACGUUCCCGGGCCUU